GUGUUGUAUGAAAGGAGAGAAGUUUAGCACUCCCCUUGACAAGGAUGGAACACAUAUGGUUAAGAGAGAGCACACUUAACCAAAAGUUUUU